rnacentral:piRNA from 1 species
UGCGUUUGAAAACAACCCCGUGGCCU